GACCUCUCUCCCAUGGGGCUGGAGGGUCCCUUUUCUUCUUAGCCAGGGCUGGAAGCCAAGAUCAGCCCUUGUCAUUGUCAGGGCUACCACAAGCUGGCAGCCUUGUUUUCCUGCCUCAGACAUCU
ensembl:scaRNA